UAUAAUUUAGUAUAAGAUGUACAUAAAUUUUUGAAAUUUAAAGAAAUGGUUUAAUUCUAUUAAUUAUAA
rnacentral:tRNA from 1 species